rnacentral:rRNA from 1 species
AUUGAACGCUGGCGGCAUGCUUUACACAUGCAAGUCGAACGGUAACAGCACUUCGGUGGCUGACGAGUGGCGAACGGGUGAGUAAUACAUCGGAACGUGCCUAGUAGUGGGGGAUAACUACUCGAAAGAGUAGCUAAUACCGCAUGAGAUCUAAGGAUGAAAGCAAGGGACCUUCGGGCCUUGCGCUACUAGAGCGGCUGAUGGCAGAUUAGGUAGUUGGUGGGAUAAAAGCUUACCAAGCCGACGAUCUGUAGCUGGUCUGAGAGGACGACCAGCCACACUGGGACUGAGACACGGCCCAGACUCCUACGGGAGGCAGCAGUGGGGAAUUUUGGACAAUGGGCGCAAGCCUGAUCCAGCAAUGCCGCGUGCAGGAUGAAGGCCUUCGGGUUGUAAACUGCUUUUGUACGGAACGAAAAGCCCUCUUCUAAUACAGGAGGGUCAUGACGGUACCGUAAGAAUAAGCACCGGCUAACUACGUG